UACGAAGGGGGCUAGCGUUGCUCGGAAUCACUGGGCGUAAAGGGUGCGUAGGCGGUUUUUUAAGUCAGGGGUGAAAUCCUGGAGCUCAACUCCAGAACUGCCUUUGAUACUGAAGAUCUUGAGUCCGGGAGAGGUGAGUGGAACUGCGAGUGUAGAGGUGAAAUUCGUAGAUAUUCGCAGGAACACCAGUGGCGAAGGCGGCUCACUGGCCCGAUACUGACGCUGAGGCACGAAAGCGUGGGGAGCAAACAGG
rnacentral:rRNA from 1 species